GCUACCACAAAACAAAGGGAAAAACAGAUUUCAAUCGUACUACCCAUAUGACUACAACCGGGUGGUGUUAAACGAUGGCCAGACCAGCAACUACAUCAAUGCCAGCUACAUGGACGGCUACAAGACUGAGAGGAAAUACAUCGCUGCACAAGGGCCCUACAAGCCCGAUGUUGUUGAGGAUUUCUGGAGGAUGAUCUGGCGGGAAGGAUGCACUACGAUCGUCAUGGUGACGGGACUCGAGGAAGGG